UAAAGGGGAAUUAAUAUUUAAGUAUAUAUAUAUACUACUAUUGUGUUAGAUUUUUAGUUAUAAAAAUCAAAGUUUUAUUGUAGCUUAAAAAUUUGGUGGAUAAUAAUUUUACAUGUGAAUUUAAAUUUAAAAAUUUAGGUUGAGCAGUAAGUGGAUUUAAUAAUUAAGUAAUUUUAGAAUUAGGUAUUUAUAUUAGUAUGGACAAAUUUUGUGCCAGCGGUUGCGGUUAUACAUAAUAUACUUCUAAAUUUGGUUUGGGUGGUAAUUAUCUUUUUAUUAUAAAUGAAAAUUAAUUAUGUGAGGUGAAAUUUAAUAGUUGAUUAAAUUUAUUUUUUAAUGAAAUAUUAUUAAAUUUUUGUAGUAAACUAGGAUUAGAUACCCUAUUAUUAGGAAUGUAAAAUUAAAUUCCUGAGAAGUAUUAGGUGUUCUUGAAAUUUAAAAAAUUUGGCGGUGUUUUAAUCUAUUCAGAGGAACCUGUUCUGUAAUUGAUAAUCCACGAUUAAUUUAACUUGUCUUUUAAGUUUGUAUAUCGUCGUUAUUUGAAUAUCUUUUAAGGGAGGAAUAUUCAAUUUUUAAAAUUUUAAUUUAAAUCAGAUCAAGGUGCAGUUUACAUACAAGUAGAAAUGGGUUACAAUAAAUUGAUUUAUGGUUUGGAAGAUGAAAUUCUUUCAAUAAAUAGGAUUUGAUAGUAAAACUAAUAAUUUUAUUAGUUUGAUUAAAGUUCUAAAAUAUGCACAUAUCGCCCGUCGCUCCUUUUCCAAGGAAGGAUAAGUCGUAACAUAGUAGGUGUACCGGAAGGUGUACCUGGAAAG
rnacentral:ncRNA from 1 species